UGUUAUAUGUAUAAAUGGUAUUAUCUAGAGAUGUGUAGCUGUUGUUUUCUAUUAGGAAUGAAAAAGAAACUUAAUUCAAAUAAAAAUAUUCUCUAGAUCGAGAAAUGCAUUUUCUUAUAAUUUUCUUAUAACUUCUGAACCAUUGGAGGUAGUAAAACCGAGAAGAGAGUACUAGAAGGUUUCAUUAGGAGAAGAAAUUCUUACACAGCGCUAUCAAAUCUAUAGGUGAUGCUGAUCAUACACUGUAGUGCUGGACAGAGAGUUUUAACAUCUAUAAUUGUAUGACUUGCCUUAACAGAGACAUUCUAUAAAGAUCGCAGAAUUCUUGUCCUGGAUGAAUCAACAACAAAUUUGGAUCAAGAAAAUGCAGAUGGUUUGGCAAAUGCAUUAGCCAUAGUUGUCAAAUUGCGAUCACAAUAUUGGAAGAAUUUUCAACUGGUUGUAAUCAGUCAUGAUGAAAAGUGAAAAUUAAGCUGAAUCAAGUGAAAAUAGAGGCUUCUAUUAACUAUUCAGAAAAAUAAGUAUGUAUAUGAUAAUUAUUUAUUAAUACAAAUAUCAUUUUAAACAUAUUGUCAAGUAGAAAGCCAGAAUUUGGAAGCAAAUGAUGUAGUAGUAGAUGAUGAAGUAGUGAACAUUUAGCACAAUUAUGAAAUAAAGCAGAGGGAAAUUUACAUAAAAAAUUAUA